rnacentral:rRNA from 1 species
CAGGACGAACGCUGGCGGCGUGCCUAACACAUGCAAGUCGAACGGGGAUUUGUUUCGGCAGAAUCCUAGUGGCGAACGGGUGAGUAACGCGUAGGCAACCUGCCCUCCGGCCGGGGACAACACUCCAAAGGGGUGCUAAUACCGGAUACGAAGUCUGUGCCGCAUGGUACGGAUUUGAAAGAUGGCCUCUAUUUAUAAGCUAUCGCCGGGGGAUGGGCCUGCGUCCGAUUAGCUGGUUGGUGGGGUAACGGCCUACCAAGGCGACGAUCGGUAGCCGGUCUGAGAGGAUGAACGGCCACAUUGGGACUGAGACACGGCCCAGACUCCUACGGGAGGCAGCAGUGGGGAAUCUUCCGCAAUGGGCGCAAGCCUGACGGAGCAACGCCGCGUGAGUGAGGAAGUUCUUCGGAACGUAAAGCUCUGUUGUUCCUGACGAACCUCCCCUCUAUCAACAACGGAGGGGACUGACGGUAGGGAACGAGGAAGCCACGGCUAACUACGUGCCAGCCGCGGC